rnacentral:lncRNA from 1 species
AGCCUAUACUUUAUUGCCCUUAGGAAAUGUACCUAAUCAUGAAACAAGGCCUGAUAAUGAACUUACAAUGAAGUCCAUAAACUUCAUGCAAUAAAAAAAAGUAGGGAAAUGUUCUGAAAGUGAAUUAAAAACCAGCCAGCUCAAGCUCAUAUCUCAUCAAGCACAAAGCCAGUAAUUUUUCAUGCUAAGUACUUACUCUGGCACUAGUGUUCAAAUCUCAAGUGAAUAAAGGUCCUGGUUAUGGCAAGCAUUAAAAAAAACCCCAAAAAUUCCAAACUAAACUUUUUUUAUUAUUAUUCAGAAUUACAAUUGUGGCUGUUAAGCACUCAGUUCUGUCAUGUGGCUAUUUCCACAGUAUUGAAAGCAUGUUGUGCCUUGAUGACACAGCUCUUCCCCUGCCCAUUUUAUCAAGCAGUGAAGCGAAAAUAAUUGAAAAAGAGAUGUGUUUCACACCAUGCGUGUCAAUGCAAGGCUGAAGCCUCAUGCUCCCAGGCAUGCAUGGCACUCAUCCUGCUGCCAGGGCUCUCAAGACAUUGAUAAACUCUUGAUAUUGUUUAAAAUAGAAAACAAACAUUCCUCUUCACAACACACAUUAAAUAACCAUGCACAACAUGAUUUCUACAAAACUUUACACUGCUGAUCAGAAACUUCUAAGACAAUCAGGCACAGCAUAUACUUCAGAUUCUUCCUAGAUCCUCAAACAUAUGAAUACUACCAUGAGCCCUUCAUCACUGAGGUUAUUAUUGUGGUGUGCCAUGAAAAAAAUCAAACCUCAAGAGACUGUACAGAGCUUCAGUCUAAGGUCAGGAGCCAGAAUCAAGUGUAAGAAGAUGAGAUUCAGGAUUAAACAGCUGUGUCCUGUUGAAGGACAAUAGGAUGAUCUGCACAAAUGGCAAAUCAAAUGUAGUUCUUACCAAAGUAUUUGAGCUUCAGAGAACACUUGCUAAUGGUCCUGCAGCUCCUUCACUUUUCACACUUCAUUAUGCCCAACUCAGAACCUUCAUGCACUGCAGAACAGCUGACUUUGUUCCCCCUCUGAAUAUACUGGAGUUCCUAAUAUGCAGCAGUUUGUUCUUACUAAGAUGUGAAUGACUGGCCAGAACACACAGAAUCAAGAGGACUUGGGGUUUUCCUAAAUCUCAGAUUGCAACACAAGAAAGAAAUUUCAGAAAUUAACUUUCCCACUAUCUUACCAUGAAUUUAAUACUGAAUUCAAUACUGGAAGGCUUAUACUCCUGAAUCUGAUCAAAAGCAGGACUGGGAGUUGGUGGUGGUACCCUUUUUGAACACACAGCACAACAAAGGAAUCCAGAUCAGAACUUCUAAUCAUUGUGGUGUUCCAGUGUCAUUCUGUAAUAGUUACUAGAGCAUCAGAACUCUAAUCCUGACAGAUCUCAUUUGCAGGCAAAACUUACUGUUGCUAGACAAAACACACAAGCUGGUGAAAGGAGAAAAAUCAUUGGCAAUUAUUUACCAAGCUAGCUGAAACAUUUGCUUUCCAAUUAGGAUUCAAAUUCGCUAACAAUUCAGUAAUAUCCAGGAGAAAGAUGAUAAGGGAGGGUUUUAUGAAGUGACCUUUUCCAGCCUGAAUGCAGCUUCCUAUGUAGCAACUGUUACUGGGGAAGGGCUGGUUUCACCCACAAAGAGCUAACUUUCCCUGGUAAUAGUUAAGCAGCAUCACAGUAGGCUUUGGCCCUUUAAUUGUUUAAUUACUUUUUGUUGUUGAAUGCCAACAACUCCCAUUCACACCAUGUAGUCUAAGGCGAUUUGGGGAACAGUAAAACAGCUAUGGUUUUGGAAAUUUUAAUCAUAGCAUUUUGUUGCUGCUCUUGGUAAAAGAUGUAUAAGUCAGCACAGACAGUAAGGAACUGGCAAAAAUCUCAGAGGAAAUAAUUUUGACUUCCAGUUUUUGUCAAGCCAGUUAUCAUCCCUUAUAGAUAAUUAUCACUAUAAUGAAGACUGAAAUUGAAAAACACAGAACAAAAGAAACUACUGGUCCUGCAUUUGUCCUCCAGAUGCAUAAGGGGUGCCACGCUUUCAGAGCUGAGCAAACAAAUUUAGUAUCAAAGCAGUUUUGUUUGGGUGGGUGUUUUUUUCCCUUUAAUCCCUAUACACACAUUGUUCUUAUGAUAAAAAUCAGGAACUUAAAACAGCAAAUGCUGUGUUGAUUCUGUAACAUUCAUUAACCUACACAUACCUCUCUGUAUUUGCACUGCUUUAUCUAUUUUUUAUAUAUAAAUUGUGUAUCAUUAAGAGUUAUCUGUACAGCAGCUACCAAAGAAAUAAUAAGACAAAUUUAAAUAUCCAUUCUUCCCUCAGCCUCACAGUUCUAAAGUAACCUGGUCAACAGGCCUUGAAUCCAGCCAACAUUCAAGAGGCCCUGUCUCAGACAGCUUUUGUAAUAAGUGUCACUGGCACAUCCUGUCCAGGUCAGUCAAUUAUCUUUUAUGCCUCUAGUCCCACCUUCUUUUCCCCAGUAACUGCUAGAUCCAUAUUCACUUCAGAAAGCAUAACUGGAAAUCUUGAGAACAUAAAUCCUGCAUUAUUCUCAAAUAUGUGAAAAUAAGAGAAUGGGCUUUCAAUUCAUCUGCAGACAUCUGCAAAGGAUCAAAGCAUGUGUUCUAAAAGCUUAUAGAAAAACAGGUAAAAAUAUGUAGUUGUAGCACUGAUUUGGGAAUAAUUUCGUUAAAUUCAAGCAAACAUAUGAGACCUGUGCAUUUUAAUGAACUGAAAAG